UCUCUGAGCUCAGAUGCAUCUGGGAUGGAUCAUCACACAGAGGAAACAGUUUUCUGUGUGCCUCAGGCUGGAAGAUUAAAGAAAAAGAAAUAUGGAGAAUGUGAAGACGCUGGGGGCAGAGGGAAACUGGCAAGUGCAGCUGUCUCUGGAAGUGAUAAGAAACACCACCACUUCAAUCUGUUUGAAAGGACUCGAGGAGAUGAGUGGACGGCUCCAGACUCUGGCAGACCUGGAGGAGGACGGAUCAGACCUCUUAAGAGUGGUCUUCUUUGUGUUGUUUCAGCUGAGCAGCCUCGGGGACAGGAUGGGAGGAAACAAAAGUAACACAUCUGAGCCCACACAUAACAGACAGACACAAGAAUAGGAUUAAAAGACACGGAUGCAUAUAUACAGACAGGCACUCUGUUAAUCCCAUGCGGGAAAAUGUUUCAAUAUGAUAUAAAUAUAUUAAAAAGUUAAUGUGAAUUU